rnacentral:rRNA from 1 species
AGUGAACGCUGGCGGUAGGCCUAACACAUGCAAGUCGAACGGUAGCACAGUAAGAGCUUGCUCUUACGGGUGGCGAGUGGCGGACGGGUGAGGAAUACAUCGGAAUCUACUUUUUCGUGGGGGAUAACGUAGGGAAACUUACGCUAAUACCGCAUACGACCUACGGGUGAAAGCAGGGGAUCUUCGGACCUUGCGCGAUUGAAUGAGCCGAUGUCGGAUUUGCUAGUUGGCGGGGUAAAGGCCCACCAAGGCGACGAUCCGUAGCUGGUCUGAGAGGAUGAUCAGCCACACUGGAACUGAGACACGGUCCAGACUCCUACGGGAGGCAGCAGUGGGGAAUAUUGGACAAUGGGCGCAAGCCUGAUCCAGCCAUACCGCGUGGGUGAAGAAGGCCUUCGGGUUGUAAAGCCCUUUUGUUGGGAAAGAAAAGCAGCAGGUUAAUACCCCGCUGUUCUGACGGUACCCAAAGAAUAAGCACCGGCUAACUUCGUG